UUGGCCAAGUAGUAGAAGUUUGGGCCAUACAAGAGGUCCCAAAAAAAUUCCGCACGAUAGAGUUUUGUAGCUUACGGAUUGAGGAUCUGAGUGGAACGGAGCAACAGGAUGUCACACUCUAUGGAAAGCUCGGUUAUGAUUUUUAUGCGGAGAUUCUCAAUAAAUGCCAACAUGGUCCGGCUGUUGGUGUGUUUGACGGGAUGUGUGUUCGUUACUACGCAGGAAAAGGAUAUAUGGUUUGCUCUUCAUCGCCUUCAAAGUACUACCUGGAUUUGGAAAUACCAGAGGUACAACAAUUCCGUUCAAAGUUGCAUCAUCCAAAAAUCCCUAUAGUGCACCUCCCAUCUCAGAAAGGAAGCACUGCCACAGAUCCAACUCAGGAGUCACAAAGUAUUUCGAAGCGAGCUCAAGAGUUGCAAAGUAGCUGGAGAACAAUCAAACAGCUGAAAGACCUCAAUCCAUUCGAGUUACAGAAAAAUGCCAGAUUUUUAUGCAGAGCCUCCAUAGUAGAUAUAAACUGCACCAGUGGUUGGUGCUAUCUUGGAUGCUUGGAUUGCAGACAGUCAAUCAGAGGGAGCAGUAGCUAAUCCUGCUGCAGCCAGUGCUCCCCAGUUAACAAGAAGCGGAAGAAGCCCAUUUUAUGAUACAAGCUAGAUGCAGAGGUGCGAGAUGCCACCGGCAAGAUGAACUUAAUGAUCUUUGCUGAUGAGGCGCAGCGAUUGAUCGGUGUCCCAGCAGAGGACCUCGUCGAAGAGAACACCGAUUACACCAGGGCAGAUGCAGUCUCAUGUAUUCUCGGCUCGACACGCGUCUUUCAAGUUGCCAUCGACAACCGGAGCUCGAGCUUCAUCGUGAAGUGGGUCCUGGACGAUGAUGACUUGGAACUACCGCAGCACAGUGGCUCGACCCAGAUGACAGGAAGAUGUGGUGGUCCUUUGCCGAAGGAAGAGGGAUCUUCUUCGGUCUCUAGCUGCAGCUCACAUCUUAUGGAGGAGAAGAUGGUGAUCAUCAAGGGAAAAAACAAGGUGAAGACCGAAAAUGAAGCUGUGCAAGCAGAAUAAGACGUGAUACGUGGUUUUCAAAUCAAGAACCUGAUCUUUUUGUUCUACCAUAUUUUCUGAACCUGUG